UACGGGGGGGGCUAGCGUUGUUCGGAAUUACUGGGCGUAAAGGGCGCGUAGGCGGUCUGUUAAGUUGGAUGUGAAAACUCUGGGCUUAACCCAGAGCCUGCAUUCAAUACUGACAGGCUAGAGUUCUGGAGGGGAUAGCGGAAUUCCUGGUGUAGCGGUGAAAUGCGUAGAUAUCAGGAGGAACACCGGUGGCGAAGGCGGCUAUCUGGACAGAGUCUGACGCUGAGGCGCGAAAGCUAGGGGAGCAAACAGG
rnacentral:rRNA from 1 species